GAACUAGGCAAUCUAUCCCAGCUCCAGACCUUAUCAUUAAAUGCAAACCAUUUUACUGGUAGAAUACCUGCAUCCCUGGACACUUGAACAAGAAUCAUCUCUCAGGUCCAAUUCCACCGAGCCUUUUCAGCUCUAGCAUGAAUGUUAAACAUAUACUGCUUGACAGCAAUAACCUUUCUGGGGUUAUUCCAGAAUCAAUUGGACUUCUUCAAAAACUCGAAGUUUU